UACUGAUAAGUAGUCGUCUAUAUAAAGCGUUUAGACUGCGGUCAAUUCAAUCAUUUGUUUUUUAACUGUCUUAAAGUAUAAGAGAAGUGUCCUCUGUAAGCAAAAGAUGGCCGCAAUAAAAAUCGUUUUACUGUUCACUGUUGUCAUUUUCCUCCUGUAUGAUGGUGUACAGUGCUUUAAUGGUGACGAGCUAGUGGACAAUUUAUCUCCAGCACGAAUAAGAGUACGGCGUUAUUCAGAUUGGUCAGGUUGCAUGGCUAUUUGUACACCAGGUUGUGCAAUACCAAAUUGCGAUCAAUGGUGUACCCGCAUCUGCUGUAAAGAAUAUACUUCGCCUCAAUGUUGAGUUUAUGUAUGACGCUUAUGCGGUUAAAAUAAAAUAAAUUCACAGUCAUCUAA